UAAAGCAAAAGAGAGGGGCAGUUUUUAAAUUGCUCACCAGGAAUUUACAUGGAAGUAACAAGCUAUUGAUUGGCUAUGCAUUGUUCUUUGUGUCGUAAUUCCCGUAAAGGAAGGUCAUGGGUGAAGGCAGCGGGUCUGGAGCGACGGUGCCUUUAAACAGUCGCCAGGCAUGGGUGGGGACCGCUGAAGCCCCGUAGACCUGUCUCUCAGGGCCUGGUUAACGGCACACACGUCACAUAGCUCGGGCGCUCUGUGCUGUUUUUUUUUCCGUCGCACCCCGCUCGGCUUCCCCCUCCCUGAACGCUUGCCAGCUGCGACCUCCCCGGGACCCUGCAUUCUUUGAGUGGCCGGGCCAAGGCCACACACAGGUGGAGCUGGAAGGCCAGUGACUUGCCUCUGGGAUACCCUUUCGGUCCCCUUAGGGCACAAGGCUGGAACCAUUCCGUUGGAACAGUUCUAUUCCUCCCCCCUGUGUUUUAACCACCCCAUCAAGUAGCCAUUUUCAUCUGGUUUCCCACAUUGAUCAACUCGCCUUCGAUUUACCUAAUUUCCAACCCAGCUGUCUACUCUGGUUGGGUGUGAGGCCAGAGAAGUGACAAGACGGAUGCCAGUCCAACAGGUGGUCAUGUCCAGAGCGUGCAGCCUCAGGACACAGUCUGGGAACAAAGACUGCUAGAGAGUUGGAAGCUGGCAGCAGGGUCUCAGCUGUGAAGUCCCUGGUAGGGGAGAAGUGGGGUAAGAAAGCAGAGGACACAAUUGAAGACACUGGAUAUUCUACCAAGGCUUUGCCUGGAGUGGCGUACCUUCAGAUAUGACCAGACUGGUUUGAGGAAUUGAGGUUGGCUUUACAGAGCCAAUACAAAGCUAGUUGGAAAGAUGGCCGUGUACCUUGUCUAUACAGUUCCCUUACAAGGUUCCUGGCCUCGAGCCCUGCGACCUGAAGAUGAGACAGCCUACACUUCAGAAGAAAACAGCAGCAACCUCUUUACUUGCAUUGCUGUCGUGUAUUGUUCCAAAACAUCCCUUGAGCUCAUACUAUUAUGUUUCAGCAGGCGCUGUCUCUAAGCCCCCAGACAGAGAGUGCUACUGGGAGCAAAUUGACCUCUUCCACUCUUCGGGGCAUUCAGUGCCCCGAAACAAUGACCCCCUUCUCAGCAGGAAGUAGCCAGAAAGAUUACAAUGCCCCAUCUCCCUACAGUUCUCAUGAUAAAUAAAUAUACAAGCAUGAUAGAAAUAAUGAGCAAAUUGACAGUGAGGGUGGUGACGGACUGGGUCUCACUAACGCAGGCCUCCACAACAACUGUUCCAGUACUGGGUGAGUGGCUAAGUUAAAUAUUAAAAGCUGAAAGAGCCAGCACCCUUAUACAAAGGCUGGAAUGUAAUAAAAGCCCACCAGAGUUUUGCCCAGGCCUUUCCUGGGCUUUAAAACAUGAUGAGAUAAUAAAGGAAUUCUUAACGGGACCUGUUUAGGAUGAAACAAGUUUUACUGGGGGUCUGAAGAAACUCCCCAGGCCUCCACAAACAAGCUUUAUUGGGGACUAAAGGAACUCCCUAAACCUCCAUGAUUCAGCAAGAGGCAAGAUACGAGUAAUCACCCUGUCAUCUGGACCCAGCUAGAUUAAGUACAUUUACUGAGGCUCCAGAGGAAGGUCUUCAAGAUCAGACCUUAGUUAUACUUCAGAAGAAGUCAAUUGCUUAUGUCUUGAGAUGAAUGCACACUCACAUGUAGACAUAUAGCUUAGAAGGUAUGCGGUUCUGGAAAACAUUGUAAUUUUGAGUUGGUCUGGUGAUAAUCUCCAGUUACCGAAAUAGAGUCCCUUUUCUCCUGGUUCAUCUGCAUCUUGCUACUGGGACAUGAGAGUAUCCGGCCUACCUUCAGUUUGGUCUGUGAACAGGAGGAUUACUUGAGCUUAGCAGUUCUAGUCCAGCCUGGGCAACAUAGCAAGACCCUGUCUCAAAAAGAAAGUAAGAAAUGAUGAUAUGAGUUUGCUGCUCUUUAAGUCAACGACUUUGCAGCUCUUCCUCUGAAGAGGUGGCAUCUGUUUUCUCUGUUUGAGUGUGACACAUCUAGGAGAAUAGCUUUGAGCAGUGGUGUGGCAGAUGUGACUGUAGGCCAGCUCUGAGCUGAGACUGCCAGGGGACUGCACACUUCCUCUCUCAUCUCUGCCAACUGCUGCAGUGUGCCCAGGCCAGCCCGCUGGAGCACAGAGCCCAGUGCAUCGGGACAGCCACAGCAACAAGGCUCGCCUGUUGCCACCACAGAUGCGUGAGGGUGCCCGGCUGAGAGUAGACAAACCGCCCAGCAGGCAGCUUUUCAAAUGGAGUCACAGAUGAGCUCCAUGGCUGUGUGAAAGCUCUCCCUGUGCCAGGACCGCACUUGGCCCCUGACAGCUUGAGCAGCCAGCUCUGUGCGUGUUGGCUGGGCUGGAGCCAGUGCAUCAAGAAGUAGACGCAGAAGUGGAUCACGAGUGAAACCUUCCUGAGAGCUAAGCCCCCCGGGAUGCAGGUGGGAACUCUCAGCAGCGGAGGAACAACCUCCUGGCAGAACCAAAGUUUGCUUUGUGCCUUUGAUGCCUCUGCUGGCCAGAGUGGUUUUCUGUCGCAAACCCGAUACCAUGUGUCUAUUCUUUCUCAUUUAUUUAAAGGAGAAGAAAAAAAGUGAUUAUGUAUGCAUGCUGGUGCACAGAUAACCUAUUAUUAUUACAAUGUCUUACAGGCCAGGCAUGGUGGCUCAUGCCUAUAAUCCCAGUACUUUGGGAGGUUGAGGCGGGCAGAUCACUUGAGGUCAGGGGUUCGGGACCAGCCUGGCCAAUAUGGCGAAAACCCAUCUCUACUAAAAAUAAAUUAGCUGGGCAUGGCAGUGCGUGCCUAUAAUUCCAGCUCUCAGGAGGCUGAGGCAGGAGAAUUGCCUGAAACCAGGAGGCUGAGGUUGUAGUGAGCUGAGAUCGUGCCACUGCACUUUAGCCUGGGUGACAAGUGAGCCUCUGUUUUUUAAAAAAAGUCUUACAGAUCCAAGGAUGAAUUUGCCUUCCUCUGUGAGAGGAGAGAUGUGCUCUGAUGAUAUAGGAGAAAACCCCAAAAUCAGCGUCAGCCCACCAGCCACGCCAGCAAAGCCCCACCCAGCACACCCAGUGUGGUAGUCUGUGAGCAGCCAGGCUUCUGGGAAGGGCAGUGUUGUAUGGAACCAUGCUCUGCCAGGCCAUGUUCUGGGGCUUCCCGUCACCCCAUCUUUUGUUAUCCAUCACGUUUCUCCAGCGCCUCAUAUGAACCAGAUGCCGCCUGAGGAACUGGGGUUACCAGAGCAAAGGAGACCAGGCCCCUGCACUCAGGGGGCCCAGGCUCGGGGGAGAGAGAAGACAAAAAAUAGGAAAAGAAGUCAGCGAAUAUCAGACCGUGCUUAGCGCUGUGGAGAGAAUGCGUGGCACUCGGAUGCCCUGAGCAGCCCAGAUGGUGCAGCCGCUGGGGUUGUGGCGCUGAGGAUGUGACCCUGAAAAGAUGUAGAGUUGGGAGUGAGUGGAGGCUCAGGGUUGGCAGGGGUGGUGGUGGGUGGAGAAUGAGCUCUCUGUUGAGGAGCAGUGAGCAGCCACCGUGCCUGGAGCUGGGUGGGGGCUCAGGGCAAAGGGAGGCUGGCAGAGUUUGGGGAGGGGCUUCUGGCUCAGGUCAGGUGGGCUGUGACGUGGAGCGUGAUGAUAUCCUAAAACCAUUCUAAGGACACUACCAGACAUUUGAACAAGGGGAGGAUGGAGAUCAGUUCAUCUGAAAGUCUCAGAAGUAGAGUAUGACAUCUGUCCCUACCAGCUUGUACAAGAAUGUGGAUAGCAGCCUUAGUCACAGCAACCAAAAGGUGGAAACAGUCCGAAGUCCUUCAGCUGACAAGUGGGUGAACGAGGGGUGGUGCGUCCCCACGACGGAAUAAUGUCCAGCCCUAGGAAGUAACAAGGCACCGACACAUGGGCAACCUUCAACGUGGGUGAACCUUGAGCAAGUCAGCAUGAAAAAAGGCUCAACAGAAGAGUCUCUCUCUACACAUUGGGUUUGCUCAGGUGUAGAAACGAGGGUCAUCAUUCAGAAUGUAUGGAAUGGCAAGCCCCUAGCCCAUUCAGUGAGGGAAGGCUCAGGGGAGCUUUUACUGGCAAAAGGAGAUUUAUAUAAGCUGCUUAGAACAGAGUCCAUGGGUCCCAGAGGUCCAAGGCUGGAGUUGCUGUCAGUUCAUUGGUGAAGGUGCUGUUCCUGGGCAGGAGUUCUUCCAGGAGCGUCUUACCUGAGUCACUGCUGUCCUAAAGGACAUCUGCUGAUGACCUCAUCAAAGCCCAGGACGUGCGAAGGACGCGAACGGAUUUUCGGAAAGUUCUUGAAGCAGUCAUCUGAGACCCUAAGUGUGAGCCUCCACUGUUUGCUUUCCCAGACCUGCUUUGUCUGGGUCUGACAAAAGUGAGUUCAGGCUGGGCACGGUGGCUCACGCCUGUAAUCCCAGCCCUUCCGGGGGCCGAGGCAGGUGGAUCAUCCGAGGCCGGGAGUUUGAGACCAGCCAGGAAAACAGUGAAACCCUGUAUCUACUAAAAAUACAGAAAUUAGCCAGGUGUGAUGGCGGGUGCCUGCAAUACCCACUACUCAGGAGGCUGAGACAACAGAAUCGCUUGAAUCUGGGAGGCAGAGGUUGCAGUGAGCUGAGAGCACACCAUUGCACUCCAGCCUGGGCGACAAGAGUGAAACUCUGUCUCAAAAAUAAAAGUGAGUUCAUCUCGGUAUUGGCAACAUCGAUAAAAACAUUACACUCCAUUGAAGAACAAGACACAAGAGACCGUGUAUUAAGAUUCAAUUUCUAUGAAAUAUAGGAAUAGGCAAAUCUAUAGAUGAACAGUUGCCUCAGCCUGGGGAGGGGAGGAUGAGAGGGACUGCUGAUGGCCUGGGGUUUCUUUCUGGGGUGACGAAGAUGGAAUUUGAUAGUGGUAUUGGAUGUACAAUUUCAUGAAUGCUCUAAAAACCACGGAAUCAUAUACUUUAAAAGGGCUGCUUUAUGGUAUGUAAAU